AAAUUGAAGAGUUUGAUCAUGGCUCAGAUUGAACGCUGGCGGCAGGCCUAACACAUGCAAGUCGAACGGUAGCACAGAGAGCUUGCUCUCGGGUGACGAGUGGCGGACGGGUGAGUAAUGUCUGGGAAACUGCCUGAUGGAGGGGGAUAACUACUGGAAACGGUGGCUAAUACCGCAUAACGUCGCAAGACCAAAGAGGGGGACCUUCGGGCCUCUUGCCAUCAGAUGUGCCCAGAUGGGAUUAGCUUGUUGGUGAGGUAACGGCUCACCAAGGCGACGAUCCCUAGCUGGUCUGAGAGGAUGACCAGCCACACUGGAACUGAGACACGGUCCAGACUCCUACGGGAGGCAGCAGUGGGGAAUAUUGCACAAUGGGCGCAAGCCUGAUGCAGCCAUGCCGCGUGUAUGAAGAAGGCCUUCGGGUUGUAAAGUACUUUCAGCGGGGAGGAAGGUGUUGUGGUUAA
rnacentral:rRNA from 2 species